AUUGAACGCUGGCGGCAUGCCUUACACAUGCAAGUCGAACGGCAGCACGGGAGCAAUCCUGGUGGCGAGUGGCGAACGGGUGAGUAAUAUAUCGGAACGUGCCCAGUCGUGGGGAUAACGUAGCGAAAGCUACGCUAAUACCGCAUACGAUCUAUGGAUGAAAGUGGGGGAGUCGCAAGACCUCGCGCGAUUGGAGCGGCCGAUAUCAGAUUAGGUAGUUGGUGAGGUAAGGCUCACCAAGCCGACGAUCUGUAGCUGGUCUGAGAGGACGACCAGCCACACUGGGACUGAGACACGGCCCAGACUCCUACGGGAGGCAGCAGUGGGGGAAUUUUGGACAAUGGGCGCAAGCCUGAUCCAGCAAUGCCGCGUGCAGGAUGAAGGCCCUUCGGGUUGGUUAAACGUACGUC
rnacentral:rRNA from 1 species